UUAAGGUUUGAGCAAAGUAC
rnacentral:misc_RNA from 1 species